rnacentral:lncRNA from 1 species
GACAAUGAGUGUCCAUGUGAGAUGCAUCAAGCAAGACUGUAAUUGAUAGGGCAAAGGCCAUUGUUAACGGGCCUCAAGAGAAAACCAACGACCUUCAAAGAUGGUUGGCUGAUGAUCAUGAACCCAUAGUAGCCACCAAACUAACACAAUCCAUUUGCAAAUACGGGCAACCUUCAAAGACCUGUUCUGUUCUCUCUUGGUUGAUGCUUCUGCUGCAAUUCUUCAAAAUCGAGGAUGUGCAGGUUUGAGUCCAGUGGCAGAGGGCUCAUACAAAAUUAUCUUUGAUCCCUGGUAAGCAUGAUCGUUGAGUAGAAAACAGCAAGGUGACAGUUUCCUCCCAUUUUCUUCCUUGUUGAGGUGGUUUUGCGAUCCGUGGUAGACAUAGUGAUAAGCUUAUGGCAUUAGUAGGAGGAGGUUGAAGACAACAAUGACAGAGCUGGAAUCCUCACUUCAUUUCAAGACUCAUGCGUCAAUAAACUAUCCUAUGAAUAUAUUCAAAAGGAAGCAGUUGCCCGGAAAGGUAAUGCUAAAAGGUUUCCUCUCAUUAAUUGAAAAAUUGUACAGCUUGCAGACGGAGUUUAGUUUAUAUGAAAUAAUUAAUUAGUCCAUGCUGUAUAAAAGAAUAAUUAAUCUGUCCUUUUAUCAGCAUUGACCAUCCACAUUUCAGUAGAUUUUUGCUCCAAAAAUGCUUGUUUCCUAAUUAAAAAGAUUUCCAUCCACCUAUUUCUCCUUUUCUUUCUCAUAUUUUUCAAUGAAAAAAAAAUUAAUUGGAAAAUGACAUGGAAUUGACAAGGGA